AGUGAACGCUGGCGGUAGGCCUAACACAUGCAAGUCGAACGGCAGCACAGUAAGAGCUUGCUCUUACGGGUGGCGAGUGGCGGACGGGUGAGGAAUACAUCGGAAUCUACUUUUUCGUGGGGGAUAACGUAGGGAAACUUACGCUAAUACCGCAUACGACCUACGGGUGAAAGCAGGGGAUCUUCGGACCUUGCGCGAUUGAAUGAGCCGAUGUCGGAUUAGCUAGUUGGCGGGGUAAAGGCCCACCAAGGCGACGAUCCGUAGCUGGUCUGAGAGGAUGAUCAGCCACACUGGAACUGAGACACGGUCCAGACUCCUACGGGAGGCAGCAGUGGGGAAUAUUGGACAAUGGGCGCAAGCCUGGUCCAGCCAUACCGCGUGGGUGAAGAAGGCCUUCGGGUUGUAAAGCCCUUUUGUUGGGAAAGAAAAGCAGCAGGUUAAUACCCCGCUGUUCCGACGGUACCCAAAGAAUAAGCACCGGCUAACUUCGUG
rnacentral:rRNA from 1 species